GGGGCCGUAGCUCAGUUGGGAGAGCGCGUGGAUCGCACCCACGAGGUCGAGGGUUCGAAUCCCUUCGGCUCCACCA
rnacentral:tRNA from 2 species